CAUUGGUAUGUUUUUUCAUAUUGAGGGGUUUUAUUCCCAAAGCAACUUUUGAUUGUUGAAAAGAGUUUGGUAGAUCAUAUGUGCCUCCUCCUAUAGCCUUGGCAUAUCAGGUAUUGGUGGGAAAAGUGUCAGAACCACCCAGAAGGCAGUCUGAAAGGCUUAAACUCACUCUGAAGAUAUGGUUGUAUUAUUGGAUAGGAUCUCACAGUCAUCACUGAAAUGAGCUCUUCCUACACAAUGCCUACCUUUAUGCUGUAAAUCAUUCUUCUUGUCUUUUUGUUUCCCUAGAUUACUCCCUGCCAAAUCUUCAGGAGUAUUGUUCCUGUUCUUGUAUUUUAAGGAAAAGAGCACCUCUGGGAUGUUCUCUUGAGUCAACACUGGAAAACUCCUCCUAGGAGAUAAGAUGUGUACACUAAGACACUGAGAAGAAAGCAGGCAGAACACUGAAGAGUUGAAAUUACAGGAAACUAGUGGCUGCUAGAAUGCAUACAUAGAAGAAGAAAGAACCUGUCAUCCUCUGGCCAAAUGAUGAGCCUAUUUUAGUGACAUGUUGGUUACAUUUCUAAUGAUGUGUUAAAUUGGCCUUGGGCAACCAGGUCAUAAGAUCUGGAGGCUGGAAUGUCCAAGAUGAAGGUGCUGGGAGCUCUGAUUUCUGAAAAGUAUCCACAGAUCUUGGGGUGACUUUCUUGAGAGUUCCAUUCUCCUCCCACCUUCUAACCUAAAGAGAAGAAAAUCAUUAUUAAAUACUGAGUUUAAAGAGGACUCAGGUCUUACAAAGGAGAUGACCAAGUAUCUCUCAGAAAAGAUAGAAAAAACAACUCUUUCAUGAGGGCUACCAGAAGGAA
rnacentral:lncRNA from 1 species